CUUUAGGGGCUGACAGGAGCCAGUUUCUUCAGUGUGUUUGAGGAGCAGACGAGAAACUUGUGCUAACAGAAUCAAAAACACAGUGUGAUGAGCAGAAGAAGAUGGAGGGAUACCUGACACUCGUUUUACUCUCCUCCAUAAUCACUAUAACCACAUCUGAUUUAGAGAUUGUGAGUGCACUCAACAUCAGUCUCUCCUCCACA